CUUGGUCAUUUAGAGGAAGUAAAAGUCGUAACAAGGUUUCCGUAGGUGAACCUGCGGAAGGAUCAUUAUCGAGUUUUGACUGGGUUGUAGCUGGCCUUCCGAGGCAUGUGCACGCCCUGCUCAUCCACUCUACACCUGUGCACUUACUGUGGGUAUCAGAUCGUGAAGCGUGCUCUUUUACCGGAGCUUGUGAAGCGUGUCUGUGCCUGCGUUUAUCACAAACACUAUAAAGUAUCAGAAUGUGUAUUACGGAUGUAACGCAUCUAUAUACAACUUUCAGCAACGGAUCUCUUGGCUCUCGCAUCGAUGAAGAACGCAGCGAAAUGCGAUAGGUAAUGUGAAUUGCAGAAUUCAGUGAAUCAUCGAAUCUUUGAACGCACCUUGCGCUCCUUGGUAUUCCGAGGAGCAUGCCUGUUUGAGUGUCAUGAAAUCUUCAACCUAUAAGCUUUUGUGGUUUGUAGGCUUGGACUUGGAGGCUUGUCGGCCUUGAUCUGUCGGCUCCUCUUAAAUGCAUUAGCUUGAUUCCUUGCGGAUCGGCUCUCGGUGUGAUAAUAUCUACGCCGCGACCGUGAAGCGUUUGGCGAGCUUCUAACCGUCUCACUUGAGAGACAACUUUAUGACCUCUGGCCUCAAAUCAGGUAGGACUACCCGCUGAACUUAAGCAUAUCAAUAAGCGGAGGA
rnacentral:rRNA from 1 species